rnacentral:rRNA from 1 species
GCUUUAUGCAAAACGACUCUCGGCAACGGAUAUCUCGGCUCUCGCAUCGAUGAAGAACGUAGCGAAAUGCGAUACUUGGUGUGAAUUGCAGAAUCCCGUGAACCAUCGAGUCUUUGAACGCAAGUUGCGCCCGAAGCCGUCAGGCCGAGGGCACGUCUGCC